rnacentral:rRNA from 1 species
UACGGAGGAUGCGAGCGUUAUCCGGAUUUAUUGGGUUUAAAGGGUGCGCAGGCGGCGUGUCAAGCAAGCGGUAAAAUAGCGGGGCUCAACCCCGUCGAGCCGUUUGAACUGGCGCGCUUGAGUUCAGGCGAGGUAGGCGGAAUUCGUGGUGUAGCGGUGAAAUGCAUAGAUAUCACACAGAACACCGAUUGCGAAGGCAUCUCACGAAUCCGCGAUUGACGCUGAUGCACGAAAGCGUGGGUAUCAAACAGG